rnacentral:rRNA from 1 species
GACGUAGGGGGCCAGCGUUGUUCGGAAUUACUGGGUGUAAAGGGUUCGUAGGCGGUGCGGCAAGUUGGGAGUGAAAUCUCUGGGCUUAACCCAGAGGCUGCUUCCAAAACUGCUGUGCUUGAGUGUGGGAGAGGCGCGUGGAAUUGCAGGUGUAGCGGUGAAAUGCGUAGAUAUCUGGAGGAACACCGGUGGCGAAGGCGGCAUCCUGGACCAACACUGACACUGAGGAGCGAAAGCCAGGGGAGCAAACGGG